AUCUCUAGUUGGAGAUCACUCCUCCUGGAGCCCUUCCAUGAGCCCAGGAUAUGGGAUAAGUGAAACAGUGAAAACAAUGCUGGAAUGUCCCAUGGUCAUGAUCAGUAUUUGUCUGGAAAGUAUGUUGUGAGAAGCUGGCACAAGAUGAAAUUGGGCCAUCUACACAGCAAGCAGUUGAGUCCUGGGCCUUAUAGUCCAUGCUGAGUAUGUAGGUGAAUAUUACUUCAUGUCAUACAAACUCAUUUACUGUAUUUUCUCCUAUUGUUCAUAAACCAAAUCUUGAUUUACCAAGGAAUAGCUAUUUAUAACAGUUUAUUCAUAAUGUGGAUGGUUUCUCCAGCUAGAGUAACUGAUUAAACGAAUUAAGCUAUCUUAAACUCAGACUAAUCUUACAGCUAGGCUCACUGGAGUUGUCUUGCUAUUCUUUUCACAGUCUAUAAACCUAGACCUUAGAAACCUUUCAGAAAAUAUCUGAGAAUUUUGUUCCCUCAUGUCAUUAAUUAGUUCCAGUGCCCAAGACCAGCUUUCAGAAAAGUAGCAUUAUGAAUACUAGUGAUGUUCAUAAUUUUCUAAAUCUGUUAUCCUAAACUAGACUGGAAGGGAUCUUCUAGGGAUGUGAAUUAUUAGUACAAUCUCUGGUGUAUUUUCAACCUACUCUUAAAGACAAUGGCUAGGCAAUGACUCGAAUGCUGCAACAGGCAGUCUGAAGACAGCAGUGUAGUUCAACUUUGUGAACACAAGUUGUAUCACUAUCCUCAGAAUCAAAGAAAAGUUCCCAUUUUGUCUGUGGUAAUAACUACAUCAGGGUAACUAUUUCUCAUUUCCUAAAUUCAUAUUUAAAGAUCAAGUAAAUAUCAAUUUUCACAAGGAACUGUUUCUAUAGGUAAUUUUCAGUGAAAAUUUUCACAAAUUUUCAGAAGUAAAUAAUUUGAGGGGAAACUGGUUUGUGACUGUCAGGUUACAAUGACUUAACACAUUACACAUCAGCUGAGCUAACUCAACUAUCCAAGCAUAAGCUAUUUGCGUAAAGCAGAUGGAUUAUAUUUUGAAUUAAUUUUAGCUUCCAUUUUUGUAGGUUAUGUUUACAGUGAAUUUCCUUGUGUUCAUAUCAAGCUAAGAUUAAUAAAUAAACAUGGUAAAAAAAGUGUCUGCUAAGGAAUAGUUAUUUCUCCUAAUUGAAAUCCUAAUAAUUUUUUUAGUUCUGCUUAGUAAAAUGCCUUGCAAUGUUUUCUUAAAUGAGGAAUUUGAAUAUUCAUUAACUGACUAAUCUUUGAAUUUUAAUUUCAUUUAUUUUAUUUUACUCUAUUUUUUUGUUAUACAGUAUUUACCUACAGUGGAUAUUUUAAAAUUCAUAAAUGAAUAAAUCAUUUUU
ensembl:lncRNA